ACGUAGGGGGCAAGCGUUAUCCGGAUUUACUGGGUGUAAAGGGAGCGUAGACGGCAUGGCAAGCCAGAUGUGAAAACCCAGGGCUCAACCUUGGGAUUGCAUUUGGAACUGCCGGGCUGGAGUGCAGGAGAGGUAAGCGGAAUUCCUAGUGUAGCGGUGAAAUGCGUAGAUAUUAGGAGGAACACCAGUGGCGAAGGCGGCUUACUGGACUGUAACUGACGUUGAGGCUCGAAAGCGUGGGGAGCAAACAG
rnacentral:rRNA from 1 species